rnacentral:rRNA from 1 species
UACGUAGGGGGCAAGCGUUAUCCGGAUUUACUGGGUGUAAAGGGAGCGUAGACGGCCAGACAAGUCAGAAGUGAAAACCCGCGGCUCAACUGCGGGAGUGCUUUUGAAACUGUUUGGCUGGAGUGCAGGAGAGGUAAGUGGAAUUCCUAGUGUAGCGGUGAAAUGCGUAGAUAUUAGGAGGAACACCAGUGGCGAAGGCGGCUUACUGGACUGUAACUGACGUUGAGGCUCGAAAGCGUGGGGAGCAAACA